rnacentral:piRNA from 1 species
UAGGCAACCCGCUUUCGGGACUCUGUGGC